CGGGGUACACGAGCGGCGAACGGGUGAGUAACACGUGAGCAACCUGCCCCUGACUCCGGGAUAAGCGGUGGAAACGCCGUCUAAUACCGGAUACGACCCGCCACCUCAUGGUGGAGGGUGGAAAGUUUUAUCGGUCAGGGAUGGGCUCGCGGCCUAUCAGCUUGUUGGUGGGGUAACGGCCUACCAAGGCGAUUACGGGUAGCCGGCCUGAGAGGGCGACCGGCCACACUGGGACUGAGACACGGCCCAGACUCCUGCGGGAGGCAGCAGUGGGGAAUAUUGCACAAUGGGCGAAAGCCUGAUGCAGCGACGCCGCGUGGGGGAUGACGGCCUUCGGGUUGUAAACCUCUUUUACCACCAACGCAGGCUCCACGUUCUCGUGGGGUUGACGGUAGGUGGGGAAUAAGGACCGGCUAACUACGUGCCAGCAGCCGCGGUAAUACGUAGGGUCCGAGCGUUGUCCGGAAUUAUUGGGCGUAAAGAGCUCGUAGGCGGCAUGUCGCGUCUGCUGUGAAAGACCGGGGCUUAACUCCGGUUCUGCAGUGGAUACGGGCAUGCUAGAGGUAGGUAGGGGAGACUGGAAUUCCUGGUGUAGCGGUGAAAUGCGCAGAUAUCAGGAGGAACACCGGUGGCGAAGGCGGGUCUCUGGGCCUUACCUGACGCUGAGGAGCGAAAGCAUGGGGAGCGAACAGGAUUAGAU
rnacentral:rRNA from 1 species